AGUGAACGCUGGCGGUAGGCCUAACACAUGCAAGUCGAACGGCAGCACAGUAAGAGCUUGCUCUUACGGGUGGCGAGUGGCGGGCGGGUGAGGAAUACAUCGGAAUCUCCGUUUUCGUGGGGGGUAACGUAGGGAAACUUACGCUAAUACCGCAUACGACCUACGGGUGAAAGCAGGGGAUCUUGGGACCUUGCGCGAUUGAAUGAGCGGAUGUCGGAUUAGCUAGUUGGCGGGGUAAAGGCCCACCAAGGCGACGAUCCGUAGCUGGUCUGAGAGGAUGAUCAGCCACACUGGAACUGAGACACGGUCCAGACUCCUACGGGAGGCAGCAGUGGGGAAUAUUGGACAAUGGGCGCAAGCCUGAUCCCGCCAUACCGCGUGGGUGAAGAAGGCCUUCGGGUUGUAAAGCCCUUUUGUUGGGAAAGAAAAGCAGCAGGUUAAUACCCCGCUGUUCUGACGGUACCCAAAGAAUAAGCACCGGCUAACUUCGUG
rnacentral:rRNA from 1 species